GUGCAGCAGGCGCGAAACCUCCGCAAUACACGAAAGUGUGACGGGGCCAUCCCGAGUGCCGUCCGCUGAGGACGGCUUUUCCCAGUGUACAUAGCUGGGGGAAUAAGGAGAGGGCAAGCCUGGUGUCAGCCGCCGCGGUAAUACCAGCUCUCCGAGUGGUGGGGACGCUUAUUGGGCCUAAAGCAUCCGUAGCCGGCUGGGCAAGUCCUCCGUUAAAUCCAACGAUUCAAUCGUUGGGCUGCGGGGGAUACUGUCCAGCUUGGGGGCGGGAGAGGCCGACGGUAUUCCCGGGGUAGGGGUGAAAUCCGUAUAAUCCCGGGAGGACCACCAGUGGCGAAGGCUGUCGGCUAGAACGCGCCCGACGGUGAGGGGAUGAAAGCUGGGGGAGCGAACCGGAUUAGAUACCCGUGUAGU
rnacentral:rRNA from 1 species